GUUUAUGCCAAUAAGCCGAAAUUGACUGAUGACCUUAAAGUGAACAUAACCCUGGCCAUCGCUCAAAUUCAACCGGAUCUAUACGGCAGAGUCAUUGAAAAUUGGACUACUCGGAUUCGUGCCACUGUGAGAAGCCGUGGCGGACAUUUAAAUGAUAUUAUGUUCCAAACAUAAUUGGCAUACGUAGAACUUUCGAACAAAAUAAUAAUUUCGUUAAUACCUCACACACAGCUUGUUUUAUUCCAUCUCAACAUCGACCCGCUCUUAUUGAUGAGCCCUUUACUAAAAAAAAUAUAUAUUUAGGUUAUUUUUAGAAUUU